rnacentral:rRNA from 1 species
UCCCUGAUUCUUUAAGUAUCCUAAAGGGUUGUCGGAGACUACGACGUUGAUAGGUCAGGUGUGUAAGUGCUGUGAGGCAUUGAGCUAACUGAUACUAAUUGCCCGUGAGGCUUAACCAUACAACACCCAAGGGGUUU